UACCAUGCAAGUCGAGCGGAUGAGAGGAGCUUGCUCCUGGAUUCAGCGGCGGACGGGUGAGUAAUGCCUAGGAAUCUGCCUGGUAGUGGGGGACAACGUUUCGAAAGGAACGCUAAUACCGCAUACGUCCUACGGGAGAAAGCAGGGGACCUUCGGGCCUUGCGCUAUCAGAUGAGCCUAGGUCGGAUUAGCUAGUUGGUGAGGUAAUGGCUCACCAAGGCGACGAUCCGUAACUGGUCUGAGAGGAUGAUCAGUCACACUGGAACUGAGACACGGUCCAGACUCCUACGGGAGGCAGCAGUGGGGAAUAUUGGACAAUGGGCGAAAGCCUGAUCCAGCCAUGCCGCGUGUGUGAAGAAGGUCUUCGGAUUGUAAAGCACUUUAAGUUGGGAGGAAGGGCAGUAACUUAAUACGUUGCUGUUUUGACGUUACCGACAGAAUAAGCACCGGCUAACUCUGUGCCAGCAGCCGCGGUAAUACAGAGGGUGCAAGCGUUAAUCGGAAUUACUGGGCGUAAAGCGCGCGUAGGUGGUUCGUUAAGUUGGAUGUGAAAUCCCCGGGCUCAACCUGGGAACUGCAUUCAAAACUGUCGAGCUAGAGUAUGGUAGAGGGUGGUGGAAUUUCCUGUGUAGCGGUGAAAUGCGUAGAUAUAGGAAGGAACACCCAGUGGCGAAGGCGACCACCUGGACUGAUACUGA
rnacentral:rRNA from 1 species